ACUGAGCUGUGGGCAGCAUUCACAAAGUGGCACAAGGCUUGAACCUGGGACUGGGAAAACCAGGCAACCAGUCAGGGGUCAGGGAUUCAGCUGAUAGCUAGAGAUCAGGAUCAGGCCAGAGGUCAAGCUGAGCAGACAGGAAUCAGGAGGUGACCCGGUAUUUUUGGAUCCUGAAAGAAUGAUGGAAGAACAAUGUCUCCAUUGACAUGGAACUCUGAAGUUAUCUUGGAUCUGAAGACCCCGAGCCUGACCUUGCUCCAGCCGAAACAGAUCCCAAGCCUGAGAUAGAUUCUGAAGACCUGGCUGAAGAAGCAGGACAUGAGGAACACCCCCCCACCCCACUU